CUGGAUAGCUCAUGACGUCACAACAGUGAAGCUACUGCGCCGCCAUCUUGGUAUUCCCUAACAUUCUGUACUCCUAUGUGUCUCAAUGGGAAAUCGUCUGUUUUGCAGCAUUACGUUCAGCGGCGCACGUGCGCACGUGUUUCAAUAGAAACAAGUUUAAGAAACUGAGUGCAGGCCUGAAUACGGUCCAGCUCACGGGCAUCAUUUAUAAAGUGAUCAAUUGGAAUAGACGAGGAGCAGGGCAGGACUGGUAAUCUGGACUACCGGACAUUUUUCCGGUGGACCGACAAACUUUGGGGCCGAUCAGGGUGGA